rnacentral:rRNA from 1 species
GACGAACGCUGGCGGCGUGCUUAACACAUGCAAGUCGAACGGAAAGGCCCUGCUUUUGUGGGGUGCUCGAGUGGCGAACGGGUGAGUAACACGUGAGUAACCUGCCCUUGACUUUGGGAUAACUUCAGGAAACUGGGGCUAAUACCGGAUAGGAGCUCCUGCUGCAUGGUGGGGGUUGGAAAGUUUCGGCGGUUGGGGAUGGACUCGCGGCUUAUCAGCUUGUUGGUGGGGUAGUGGCUUACCAAGGCCUUGACGGGUAGCCGGCCUGAGAGGGUGACCGGCCACAUUGGGACUGAGAUACGGCCCAGACUCCUACGGGAGGCAGCAGUGGGGAAUAUUGCACAAUGGGCGGAAGCCUGAUGCAGCAACGCCGCGUGCGGGAUGACGGCCUUCGGGUUGUAAACCGCUUUCGCCUGUGACGAAGCAUGAGUGACGGUAAUGGGUAAAGAAGCACCGGCUAACUACGUG